rnacentral:rRNA from 1 species
UACGUAGGGUGCGAGCGUUGUCCGGAAUUAUUGGGCGUAAAGAGCUUGUAGGCGGUUUGUCGCGUCUGCUGUGAAAUCUCAAGGCUCAACCUUGGGCUUGCAGUGGGUACGGGCAGACUAGAGUGUGGUAGGGGAGACUGGAAUUCCUGGUGUAGCGGUGAAAUGCGCAGAUAUCAGGAGGAACACCGAUGGCGAAGGCAGGUCUCUGGGCCACUACUGACGCUGAGAAGCGAAAGCAUGGGGAGCGAACAGG